GAGAUAAAGAAGGGGCCAACAAAGCUAAGGAAAUAUGAUGUUGUAAUGCAUUGCCAAACCUGUGGAGAGGAAGGACACAACAAAAGAAGCUGUCCACAAAGGCUACUACAAUCACAACAAGGUUUUGUGCCCACAAAAGAGGAAACUGGUGCACAUCAUCACUCGGGGGCUGCUCCAUCUCAAACUAGGCCACAAGGAACUUCUAAACUACAUGUGUACCGAGGCGGUCGUGUGAAUCAAGUCACAAGAAAGGCUAAUGAAAUGGCAUCACAACCCCAACGUGUUGCCA